GAUUCUGGCUCAGAGCGAACGCUGGCGGCAGGCCUAACACAUGCAAGUCGAGCGGCCGUAGCAAUACGGCAGCGGCAGACGGGAGAGUAACACGUGGGAACGCGCCCUUCGGUCGGAAUAACUCAGGGAAACUUGGGCUAAUACCGGAUACGCCCUUACGGGGAAAGAUUUAUUGCCGAAGGAACGGCCCGCGUCCGAUUAGCUUGUUGGUGAGGUAACGGCUCACCAAGGCGACGAUCGGUAGCUGGUCUGAGAGGAUGACCAGCCUCACUGGGACUGAGACACGGCCCAGACUCCUACGGGAGGCAGCAGUGGGGAAUAUUGGACAACGGGCGCAAGCCUGAUCCAGCCCAUGCCGCGUGAGUGAUGAAGGCCUUAGGGUUGUAAAGCUCUUUUAGCAGGGAAGAUAAUGACGGUACCUGCAGAAAAAGCCCCGGCUAACUUCGUGCCAGCAGCUGC
rnacentral:rRNA from 1 species